rnacentral:tRNA from 1 species
AAGUGAGAAGCAACAACUUGCAGUCAGUUUCGACCUGACCCUAGAUAGUCUAAACCUAUCCUCACUAU